UCGCCUUGUUUGUUUUCUGUUCCACAUGUUCUUUAAACAACAGCUUCUUAUCCAGGGUUACCCCAAGAUAUUUAACAGUGUCAGACAUGUGUAUUUUGAUCCCAUAUACAUUUGUCUUAGGGCUCUAAGAUCUCUCUUCCUUGUGAAAGCGAUAAUAGAUGUCUUGGAUGGGCUAAUUUUGAGCCCUUCCGUGUUACACCAUUGGUCGAUGAUGUUUAGCGCCUGCUGCAUCAAUGAUGAUACAGUGUCUCCAAACUUUCCCUGUACAACACCCCCAGUGCGUAGAAACCCUUCUGCUCACUUCAUUGAGUGCGACAGUAACCGUUCUGCAACUCAGCAUGUUUUGGAUCCAUUUACAUAUUAUAGGCUCCACUCCACGAUUUGACUGAAAAGAAGUAUUGUCAAAGGCUCCCUCUAUGUCCCGAAAAGCCGCCAGAGCAAUUUUUUUACGCUCUAAUGAGGUUUGGGCCCUCUGCACCAACUCGUGGAUAGCAGAUUCGCAGGAUUUUCCCAUUUGGUAGGCAUAUUGGUUGUGAUGUAGAGGACUUCUAGUAAGAACCUCUUCCCUGAUGUGUCUGUCGAUCAGCUUUUCUAGUGUUUUGAGUAAGAAGGAUGUUGGGCUGAUCGGGCGAAAGGAUUUGGCUUGGCAAGCGUUCUAUACUCUACAGAUAUUAACUCGCUUUUAUAGUUAAAAAAAUGCAGUUUCGAAAUUGAAUGUGAAUAUGGUUGGAAAAAUUAAGUAUGAUGUGCUGUUCUCACAUAAUUACUUAAUUAAACUGAUUUUUGCAUGGUUCCUAAUUUUAACAUCCACUUUUCGCGGAAACUUAGGCACUUUUAUGCUACCGAAAUAUCUUAGAUCUAAUCCUGUGUUUGCUGCAUCGCAAAAUCGGUUCAUUUUUUAAAUACAUCUCACAGUAUUCUUCAGUAAUUAAAAUGCCUGUUUCUGUAAAAAUGUUCUUGCGCCUGUAAAAAUGUUUUUCUCUUAUUAUACCCAAUUAACUUUAAGUGUAUUAAGAGCGAUAAUUUUUAAAUAACGAUAGUUUGUUUUAACUAACUCUUUCCAUAAUGAAUAAAGCGCUCCUGGAUGAUAUCGAUGAUCUGGACUAUGAACCAGAUGGCGUUGAAAAACCACUGGAGGAAGUGCCGACUCCUGAUCAAAAUGGACGAGACUUGAUUUUGGAAUCGUAUCAUAACUCUGAAACGCAGAAUUUUAACUUUCAGCCAUUAGUUUUUCCAAAAUCAGCCUCAAGUAUUCAAAGUUUUCGAGAUUUUGAUUAUAAGCAUCUAGACGUCGAUAUAGAUCAAAAUUCGUUUCGAACUCAUUAUAAUUCAUAUGUGUCCAAUUCAGAAAGGUCAUACCAUUUGGACUCUAGCGAUGAUGAGGAAAGUACUGUUCCAUUUAGUAAUUCCUCGUUUCAAGUAUCUGGUAAGUCUACUAUCAAUGUUAUACAAUGGCUUCAUUUCAAAACAAGCCACCCUAAAUUGAAGAAAUGCACAGUUUUGAAAAAGACAUCAAUUUAGAUAUUUUACAGAGUGUCUCUGAAAUAAGACCCUUACCAGAAAAUAAAACGAUCGCUAGCGGUGCUUUUAAGCGGUGCAGCGCGUUCAGUGGUUUUUCUUUGGUUUUACUGAAGAGGAACUAUAACAGACGCCGGUUGCGUUGUUUUAAUGAUAGGAAUGAAUGAAGUGGCAACAUAUUUUCAAAGCUACUGGGUCAGCCAUAAAUUAUGACCGAAUGACUUUUGCUCCUUUAUAUAUGCAACGGCUGACAAAACCAUUUAAAUUAGUUUUUGGAAGAAAACGAUCUUAAUUUAAGAACAUUUGUGCCAGCAACAACAUGAAGUAGGCUUGGGUAAUACUGUGUCUUAAGACACUUGUGCCGCUGUGUGUCUAUCUGCCGCGACGCGAUGCUUUGAACAACACUUCGGCCCACUCACACGGCAAUCUACAGGGUACAAUAUGCAGGGCCCAAUCUGUUAGAGUUGAGCAAGAA